GACGAACGCUGGCGGCGUGCUUAACAUAUGCAAGUCGAACGGUGACACGAGAGCUUGCUCUCGUUGAUCAGUGGCGAACGGGUGAGUAACACGUGAGCAACCUACCCUUGACUCCGGGAUAACAGUUGGAAACAGCUGCUAAUACCAGAUACGAACUCAGCAGGCAUCUGCCGAGUUGGAAAGCUCCGACGGUCAAGGAUGGGCUCGCGGCCUAUCAGCUUGCUGGUGAGGUAACGGCUCACCAAGGCGACGACGGGUAGCCGGCCUGAGAGGGCGACCGGCCACACUGGGACUGAGAUACGGCCCAGACUCCUACGGGAGGCAGCAGUGGGGAAUAUUGCGCAAUGGGCGAAAGCCUGACGCAGCAACGCCGCGUGCGGGAUGACGGCCUUCGGGUUGUAAACCGCUUUCAGCAGGGACGAAACUGACGGUACCUGCAGAAGAAGCACCGGCUAACUACGUGCCAGCCGCCGCAGUAA
rnacentral:rRNA from 1 species